AUGAAGCGGUGCUUGAGAUCAUUAUCUCUUCCGCCGCGAAGAACAGUGAGGUAUAGUGAAGGCCGAGAUAUCGUUUCAGUCGUCAUUUGUUAUCGGUUGGCGAUUCGAUUGUUGCUCGUCCACAU
rfam:Cucumis melo, WGS project CAJI01000000 data, contig: 04938